rnacentral:rRNA from 1 species
UACGGAGGGUGCGAGCGUUGUCCGGAAUCACUGGGCGUAAAGGGCGCGUAGGCGGCCGUGUAAGUCACUUGUGAAAUCCCGGGGCUCAACUCCGGGGCUGCAGGUGAGACUGCAUGGCUAGAGCUUGGUAGAGGCGAGUGGAAUUCCCGGUGUAGCGGUGGAAUGCGUAGAUAUCGGGAAGAACACCGAUGGCGAAAGCACUCUGCUGGGCCGAAACUGACACUGAGAGACGAAAGCUAGGGGAGCGAAUGGG